rnacentral:rRNA from 1 species
UACGAAGGGUGCAAGCGUUAAUCGGAAUUACUGGGCGUAAAGGGUGCGUAGGCGGUUCGUUAAGUCUGUUGUGAAAUCCCCGGGCUCAACCUGGGAAUGGCAAUGGAUACUGGCGGGCUAGAGUGUGUCAGAGGAUGGUGGAAUUCCCGGUGUAGCGGUGAAAUGCGUAGAGAUCGGGAGGAACAUCAGUGGCGAAGGCGGCCAUCUGGGACAACACUGACGCUGAAGCACGAAAGCGUGGGGAGCGAACAGG